GACGAACGCUGGCGGCGUGCUUAACACAUGCAAGUCGAACGGAAAGGCCCUGCUUUUGUGCGGUGCUCGAGUGGCGAACGGGUGAGUAACACGUGAGUAACCUGCCCUUGACUUUGGGAUAACUUCAGGAAACUGGGGCUAAUACCGGAUAGGAGCUCCUGCUGCAUGGUGGGGGUUGGAAAGUUUCGGCGGUUGGGGAUGGAUGCGCGGCUUAUCAGCUUGUUGGUGGGGUAGUGGCUUACCCAGGCUUUGACGGGUAGCCGGCCUGAGAGGGUGACCGGCCACAUUGGGACUGAGAGACGGCCCAGACUCCUACGGGAGGCAGCAGUGGGGAAUAUUGUACAAUGGGCGGAAGCCUGAUGCAGCAACGCCGCGUGCGGGAUGACGGCCUUCGGGUAGUAAACCGCUUUCGCCUGUGACGAAGCGGGAGUGACGGUAAUGGGUAAAGAAGCACCGGCUAACUACGUG
rnacentral:rRNA from 1 species